GGUUGUGGCUCAGUGGUAGAGUAUUCGCCAGAAUGCAUGAGGCACUGGGUUCAAUCCUCAGCACCG
rnacentral:tRNA from 1 species